GCCCCUGUAGAGCAGCCCGGAGUGCUCGCCGCUUUGUCACGGCGGAGGUCGCAGGUUCAAAUCCCGUCAGGGGCG
rnacentral:tRNA from 1 species